rnacentral:rRNA from 1 species
UGCCAGCCGCCGCGGUAAUACGGAGGGGGUUAGCGUUGUUCGGAAUUACUGGGCGUAAAGCGUACGUAGGCGGAUCAGAAAGUAAGGGGUGAAAUCCCACGGCUCAACCGUGGAACUGCCUCUUAAACUCCUGGUCUUGAGUUCGAGAGAGGUGAGUGGAAUUCCGAGUGUAGAGGUGAAAUUCGUAGAUAUUCGGAAGAACACCAGUGGCGAAGGCGACUCACUGGCACAUUUCUGACGCUGAGGCGCGAAAGCGUGGGGAGCAAACAGGAUUAGAUA